CCGUCUGCCUCUCUGCUCCUCGGUGUGUGUGUGCUGCUGCUGUCUGCACCGACUGUUUCUGCAGUGUCUCUGUCUGUCAGUCCAAACCUUCAGCAGUUCUUCAGAGGAUCUUCUUCAGUGUAUCUGAGUUGUGUUGAUGAUGGACAGACAGCUGAUGGAUGGACAGUGAAGAGGACCAGAGGAGGACUCACUGAGGACUGUGGAGCAGCUGCAGGCUUUGGGAGGGUUCAUGGUUCCUCCUGU